GAUGAACGCUGGCGGCGUGCCUAAUACAUGCAAGUCGAGCGAGCAGACGAGGAGCUUGCUCCUCUGACGUUAGCGGCGGACGGGUGAGUAACACGUGGAUAACCUACCUAUAAGACUGGGAUAACUUCGGGAAACCGGAGCUAAUACCGGAUAAUAUAUUGAACCGCAUGGUUCAAUAGUGAAAGACGGUUUUGCUGUCACUUAUAGAUGGAUCCGCGCCGCAUUAGCUAGUUGGUAAGGUAACGGCUUACCAAGGCGACGAUGCGUAGCCGACCUGAGAGGGUGAUCGGCCACACUGGAACUGAGACACGGUCCAGACUCCUACGGGAGGCAGCAGUAGGGAAUCUUCCGCAAUGGGCGAAAGCCUGACGGAGCAACGCCGCGUGAGUGAUGAAGGACUUCGGAUCGUAAAACUCUGUUAUUAGGGAAGAACAAAUGUGUAAGUAACUAUGCACGUCUUGACGGUACCUAAUCAGAAAGCAACGGCUAACUACGUG
rnacentral:rRNA from 1 species